rnacentral:rRNA from 1 species
GUAGGGAGCAAGCGUUGUUCGGAUUUAUUGGGCGUAAAGAGCGCGUAGGCGGCUUGGCAAGUCCGUUGUGAAAUCUCACAGCUCAACUGUGAAACUGCAGCGGAAACUGCCUCGCUAGAGUGCGGGAGAGGAGAGUGGAAUUCCCAGUGUAGAGGUGAAAUUCGUAGAUACUGGGAGGAACACCGGUGGCGAAGGCGGCUCUCUGGACCGCAACUGACGCUGAGGCGCGAGAGCUAGGGGGGGAGCAAACGGGAUUAGAUACCCCGGUAGUCCUAGCCGUAAACGAUGGGCACUAGGUGUAGGAGGUAUUGACCCCCCCCCUUCUGUGCCGCAGCUAACGCAUUAAGUGCCCCCGCCUGGGAGUACGGUCGCAAGCUA